AUUGAACGCUGGCGGCAGGCUUAACACAUGCAAGUCGAGCGGGGUGAUGGUGCUUGCACUAUCACUUAGCGGCGGACGGGUGAGUAAUGCUUAGGAAUCUGCCUAUUAGUGGGGGACAACAUCUCGAAAGGGAUGCUAAUACCGCAUACGUCCUACGGGAGAAAGCAGGGGAUCACUUGUGACCUUGCGCUAAUAGAUGAGCCUAAGUCGGAUUAGCUAGUUGGUGGGGUAAAGGCCUACCAAGGCGACGAUCUGUAGCGGGUCUGAGAGGAGGAUCCGCCACACUGGGACUGGGAGACGGCCCAGACUCCGACGGGAGGCAGCAGUGGGGAAUAUUGGACAAUGGGGGGAACCCUGAUCCAGCCAUGCCGCGUGUGUGAAGAAGGCCUUAUGGUUGUAAAGCACUUUAAGCGAGGAGGAGGCUCUUUUGGUUAAUACCCAAGAUGAGUGGACGUUACUCGCAGAAUAAGCACCGGCUAACUCUGUGCCAGCCGCCGCCGUAA
rnacentral:rRNA from 1 species